CGCAAAUCUCAGUUUUCCAUGUCCUCGUUUAGGGUUUAGGUUCUUUUCUCUGUUUGUUCUCAUCCCCCAUUUUCUGCCCGCCGACCGCCCAUCGAAGGCUACUAGUAAGCUUAUCAAUGCCAUUUGUGGUGAGGUUUACAUUACAGGGUAUAAGGACUUCCAAGGGUCGACCAUUUACUAUUAAGGAAGUCAAGACUUCUUCCAUUGGCCAACUUGUGAGCAUAUUACACGAUGCUCAGAUGUGAAACCGUUGAUGCAAGUUGCUACCAGGAGGUAACAACUAGGGUAUUUAUGCCUCUCUGUGUGGGUGUCCAACUAGUCGCUGUAAAACAAACAUUACUAAAGGAA